rnacentral:pre_miRNA from 1 species
UAAUCUGUCUAGGGUAAAUUCUCAUCUAAUUGUGGUAGAAUCACACUUGAUUGCUUAUAAUCAUUCGUUAUCGCAGACCCGAUUACAUCACUGACACUUAUAAAACAUAUUUGAAAAAAAAGGUUAAUAAAAUUAUGGUUUGAUG